UUAGAAGACAGGAAGUGGUGCCGGGCUGCCAGUAAGGAAUAACAGCCUCACAUGGCUGGCACGGCAGUGAGAGACAUGGGCCCUCGGGGAACACUGCCGCCGCUGCUGCUGCUGCUGCCUAUAGCACACUGCACUGCCACAAAUAGCUAUACGGGCUAUUUUUAGCUCUCCCAUACUGCAGCAGACCUACCUGGACAGAGAGACACGACCCCAAACUGUCCGAGCCACAGCCCUGCGAUAGUCUGGCGACCUGUCCAGGGUGUACCCUGCCUCCCGCCCGAUGUCAGCUGGGAUAGGCUCCAGCCCUCCCCGCGACCCUCAUGAGGAUGAAGCGGUUAGAAGAAGAUGAAUAAUGAAGCUCUAAGGAAAGUUCAGCCAGGAAGACAAUCCUGUUUAUGUUCAGGCUUAGUACCCUGUGCCCUCCACCUCCCCAUCACCACCUAGUCUUUACAGAUUCAUCAGCCUCAUCUGCCUCAUCAGCCAUCAGCCUCAGAGUCAUCAGCCACCUCCACCACCAGUGACUGGACUCCAUGGGGAGAUUUAUCGUGCUGCAGCUCAGAUGUCCCUCGAUCACAAAAUAUCUCCCUCUGGUGUCUACACGCCAAAGACUUCUGUUAAAUCUUAACACACACAAAUCAU